GUCUAUGGCCAUGCCACCCUGAACAAGCCCAAUGUCUGAUCUCGGAAGCUAAGCAGGAUUGGGCCUGGUUAAGACUUGGAUGGGAGACCACCUAGGAAGACCAGGUGCUGUAGGCA
rnacentral:rRNA from 1 species